rnacentral:lncRNA from 1 species
UGGCAACACAAUAUAUUUUCGUCUGCAUCGUCAUUGCUCUCUCCAAUUAUUAUACCUUUACCCUUCUUCUGGGCCAGGUACGCUGCGAUUCAAAUGACACUUCGUAAGGUUGAGUUAAGGUUUCUAUUCAGUAAUACAUAUAGUUUCAUAUGAACGAUACAUAUGGUUCAUGCUUCAGCUUUUGUGGUUCAGUCAACGAAUCAGAUAAUUAACAAAGAAAAUAAAAACAAUAAAUUGGUUCAUGCAAAUAUAACAACUGAUUCAACCAUAUGAUUUUGGCUAACCAAAAUAAACUACUGGAUCAUUCAAUAUAUAUUCAUGGUUCAUACUACGCACUGACGUUUCAUAUACAACAAAUUGUGCUUCAAUUAACCAUAAUAGGUUUAUUCUCCCCACCAAAACAUCAUUUAUCAUACACCAACACCACCACAACCACCAAAUGCCACAUUGGUUCAGUCAUACACAUCCAACAUACACACAAGAAACAUAAAAAAAAAAAAAAAAACAAACAAACAAACAAAACCUUUAAGCACACCAUCUUCAUUAUCGCUUGUAACGAUCCCUUUUCAUUUGUCCUUCGCACUAGCUCGCCCUAUUCAUAUUUCAAUUCAGUAAAAAUAGUUAAAAAUAAUGUCCGAACAAGAAAACUGCAAUUAAUAACUCAAGAAAUCAUAACAUAGUCCUAUUUUUUUUUCCCGUCUGAUUCAUUCAAACUACAAUUAAAGUUCAUUCAAAUAUAGGAAUAUGGGCGACAACAAUCCAAAUUAAUCAAUACAAGAUUAUCAUUGAUCCAAUUAUCUAAUGUACUGAACCAAUGGUAAAUGUCCAUCAGCACGAAAGAACAAAAAAAUAAAAAGGAACAUAGAUUAGGGUUUGCCAACAAAAGGUAUAUUCCAGCGGCACGACAAAACUUUAAAAAAUGUACAACUGGGGGGACCACAUGGUUCAUGAAUCUAUGACCUUAAAAAAAAUAUACACAACAUUAGAUCCACCAAAUCAGACACAAGACCACACAAAAUCCAAAUAUCUGAUAACGACAGUUCGAAGAACAUUCUCCUUUCGAAAUAAACAAAACGAAUGAAGACUACUUAAAUUUCCGAUGUUUAAAUCGCACCAAUUCGCCAUUUUGUUCANCAAAACGAAUGAAGACUACUUAAAUUUCUGAUGUUUAAACAAAAAAAUCCUUUUUUUCGAAACCUAUCACUAUUGAUUCAUAUUCUCUUUUCCAAAUAAAGUAAACCAAACGAAGACUACAAAUUUCCGAUGUUUAAAUCGCACCAAUUCGCCAUUUUGUUCAACAAAGACACCAAAAUCAAAACAACAAAACAAAAUACAUAAAUGAAAUCACAGCAUUAUCGUCUACAUACCUGCUCUAUUUGCUUUCGUAAUCGCCAUUGAAGAACCUGGUAUCCCCCUUUUUUCACCCACCAGAAGCUUCGUGUGUUUUUCUUAUAGUCGUCGGAAUCACCCUCUAACGGCAUAAAACCUUAAAUUUUUUGGCCUCCCUUUCAUCUGAA